GCCACUGCACUCCACCUAGAAAACAGAGUGAGACAAUGUCUCGGGGAAGAAAAAAGAAAAAGCCAGGCAGAUCAAUAUGUUCUGGCAGAGGAGGACUAAGAAAGCAAGGUGAGAAGGGUAGACAUGUGACAAAGGGACCUAUACCGACACGUGACAGCUCUGCAGGGCCAUCUCAGAGCCUGGGUACAGUGGCUGUGGUUGGUGGCAUGACUGAUUUUUUUUUUUCUUUUGAGACGGAGUCUCGCUCUGUCACCCAGCCUGGAGUACAGUGGUGCCAUCUUGGCUCACUGCAACAUUCACCUCCUGGGUUCAAGCAAUUCUCCUGCCUCAGUCUCCUGAGUUAACCGGGAUUAUAGGCGUGCACCACCACGCCCGGCUAAUUUUUUUUCUUUUUUUUUUUUUUUUUUUUAGUAGAGAUGAGGUUUUGCCAUGUUGGUCAGGCUAGUCUCAAAUUCCUGGCCUCCGGUGACUCGCCCGCCUCGGCCUCCCAAAGUGCUAGGAUGACAGGCGUGAGCCACCGCGCCCGGCCAGGACUGAUUUUUCUUCCACUGUGUACCCAUCUGUGCUGCCUGGAGUUCCUGCCAUAGGCAUGUGCUACUCUUUCAAAAAACAAAACCAUUUUAAGAAGUGCUUCCUCGUUUCUGGUGAGGAUUUUUGUGGAGGGAGGCGGAGAAGGGGAGAUUUCCCAUCGAGCCGCUCACUGUGCGCUGGCUGGCGGGCUCCUGCAGGCUGCUGAGCAUCUCCAGGAAAAACCAGGUCACCAAGAACCACCUGGAAUGACGGCUGUCAAACCUGGCCAUGCGCUGGAAUCUCCUGGGAGUUUUAUGAACUACUGAUGCCCGGGGCCCACGCCAGGGGGUCAGAUGUCUCUACUCGGGGGCGUGGCCUGGGUGUGGGACAUUUCACAGCUCCCAGGUGAUUCUCAUGCAGAGUCCAGGUUGUAAGGACCACGGCCUGCACCAGAAGAAGGAGAGGGCUCCCGGGCUACUGCUCCUGGUUGGAGCCGGUGGAGAUGAGCAAGGAUGCAUGGUCAAGGAGGACAGAGGGAGGGGACCUUCUCACCACCCCCUAACCCUGUCCCCCAGCUCCCUGCACUGUCUCGUCUCCUGGCCACCUCUGCCCACUCUGGCUGAGACCCAGUUCUGGCUACAGCUGAAAGCUGCGUGUCAGUACAGGGAUGUGGGCUCCAGACUAUGGCCAAUGACAGCUUCCCCACUGCCAGACACCUCUGCAGGCCCCUCCCCAUGCUGCCUGCUCCCCUUCCCUCCCCUCCCCCUGCACUUGACACCAUGACCCCAGUGCAGAGGGGGAGAUCAAGACUCAGGAGUUGCCCUGCCCCAAGUCACACAUCCUCCAAGCAUCUGUCCACCAGCCGGCAACUCACAGUGCACCAGGCCAGCCCUGUCCUGUGCACUGAGGACACAGCUGUGAACAAGACAACCAUCCCAGCCCUCAUGGGGCAUGGCACUUAGUGGGGACACAAAUGAACCAGGAGAAACAAUGCCACCCUAUGAUGCGGGCUGAUGGCAGGACAGGCACAAAGGCCUGGGGAACCCAGAUGGGGCCUCAGCUCAUCCUAGAGGGUUGGGGGAGUUUCCGGGUGCUGAGCCGUGUAGGACCUUCACAGCCUCAGCAGCAACUGGCCAGGAGUCAGGAGAACAGGGGUAUAGAGGUACCAAGGGCCGGUGUUCCAGGCCGAGGGAACAGCCUGUGCUGAGUGGGUGGAGUGUGGGGGCUGCGGGGAUCAGCGCGUAGACAGGGAGGAAGCCAGACAAAGGGCUGGGGUCCACCUGGGAUCUUGCAAGCCAAGCUAUGACCUUGAUCCCAUGAGCACUGAGGGCCUUUGCAGCUCGUAAGCAGGAGGCUGUGUGUGUGAUGAGGUCUGCACUUCAGGAAGAGCAGGAGAGAGAAUACACUCUAGGGGCGACAGUGGAGACAGCAGGAGGCUGUUUCAUGUGUCCCCCAAAAGUGAGAGUGGCCAGGUAAUCACGUCUGGGCUCCAGGGCCUUGACUUACCACCACAUCACACCGAGCCUGUUGCAGAAGGGAACCAUCAAAGGAUCUUAAAUAAGCUAAAACAUGCUCUGACAUCUAGGGAUCUCAUACCAGCCUGCGUCACCACCUUCACAUCUGGAAAACCAGGACAAGUGACGCACCUGGCCAAGGGUGAACCUCAAACACGGCGAAUGGAACGUUGUGCCCAGCCAAUCCUCAGUCAGCCACUCUUGGCUCAGCCUGCUCAGGGGAUGACUCGGGAGACAAGGUCUAUUCCUGCCUGCCCCUCCUCUCCUAGCACGUUCCCCAGCUGCCCCUGCCUCUGUGGGUCAGUGGACACACGUCCCCCUGAUGGCACUGCAAUCAGAACACAAACAGGAGCUGAGCCACAAGAUACAUCUCCAGCCAGAGGGCUGCCGCUGGUGGGUAACCCACAGGUGUGGAAUUUCACCUUCUUUCUUUUUAAUGAUGGCCUGAGAUCUGGCUGUCAUGAUAUCUAGAAAAUGCAACAUUCAAGUGAAUCAUGGGAGUUCAAAGACCGCCCCUCUCAUCCUGACACAUGACUAGGGGCCAAAGAGUGUUCUGUGAUCUGAAAAGACACGGCCCUUCUUCUCCUGGUCCUGAGGACCCAGGCAAGGGUCAGUGACCAGGCCAGGCCAGAGCCAGUGUUCGGCCCAGCCAGGCGGCCUCUCCUAGGCCAGCUGGGCCUCAUCCCAACCCCCUGUUCCUUUUUGAAAUGGUUCUGUGCAGAGGGAUGGAGUUUCUGUCUCCUCCCUCAAGGAGAUGGAUUCUAAAAAUGGAGGAAAAAUCAAUAUCAUUAUGAAGAAGCCAAGGAGAGGGAGUGGCGAGAGGCCGCCGGCAGCUCUAGAUGUGAUGGCGUCUUUAGGCCUGGAGAGAACUAAUGUAAGAAACCCCCAACAAUUGCAUCCUUCCUGGUCACAGAGGGGAAAGGUCAUCCCUGCAUUUGGACAAGGGGGUCGCAGGGAGACAAGCUCUGUCGGUGUCUGGCCAAACGUCACAAUGGAUUAUUGAACAGCUGCUUCCCGUGCACUCAGAAAGGAAGUCAAUCACUAGGAGCCCCCAGGGGCUCCAAGGAGAACAAGCAUGCUUUCCUUUUUCAGGAGGGCCACUGGCCUGGAAGACCAGACAGAAGGCUGCAGAGGCUGGUGCCGCUCCACAUCCACUCAGGCCCAAGCCUGACACCUUGGAGGACACGCUGGAGACACGUGGAGAUCAGUCCAGGAGUAAGCAUGUGACAGGGCCACUGCGAUUCUUGCUACUGGGACAGGGAUGCUCUCCCCAGAGGUUCCUGGGAGUUCAGGUGACAGGCCACUCCUGCCACCCCACCAGGGGCCCGCCUGAGAAUGAACCCCGCACAGAAGGAUGCAGAGUUAGAAGACGCGGCAAGACAGAGUCCUGCCAAUAUCACUUGGAGCGCGUGAACCCUAUUUUGCUGAAGGCUGGAGUUACCCUGGGGCUUUUCCUGUUCAUGAGCCUCAAAAUUCUCUUCUUUCUUUAAGCCACACUGACCAGGGUUGCUUGUAACUAAGAGUCCUGCCUGAAAUAGAUAAUAAACCCCCAGGGGUGGCAGCAAGUGCUUUGAAACCAGCCGCCUGAAUCAGCAGGUAAGGGCUGGUGUGUGAGGCUGAAAACAACCAGAUGCCCGCAGGGCUGUCCGGCUGCAGACGCCCUGGCGGGUGGACAGGACCAUUUCCCAGAGGCAGACCCCCUCACCGGCACACCCGCAUGCCAUGGAAACCACUUUCACACCCGUUCUCUCUUGGACUAUCAUGGCAGCCUGCAAGGGAGGAGUCGCUAUGUCUCAGGGGUCCCGGGAGGGAGGGAGCACUGGAGCUGGGGUCCCCUCGGCCUGUCCAGCUCCAAGACCAGCCCUUGCCCAUCGCCCUCUAGGGCUCCUUGAGGAUGGAGCAGCAAACUCAAACCCUGGGGUUUUCACCUUUGAAAAUCUCAGAGAAGACUUCAGAGCUCUCCACGUCCCACCUCUCGCCCUCCGGCUGGGAAUGAGUCCCCGCUGGGGUCCAGGAGGUGCGUCCAACCCUUUGGAAUCCAGCUCCCCACCCCCUCCUCCCGGGCCGCAGGCAGGAAUGUUCUCUGCUCUGGGAUAGGAUAGGUCAAGACACAGAAACCUGACACGGCUGUGAGCUCCUCCGCAGCCCACCCCCAGCCCAAGGCCCGCCUCUGCCACAGGGAGUGCUGGGGCGCAGGGCCUGGCUGCUUUCAGAGUCUCCCCACACCCCCGCAGCUCCCUGCGUCCACCCUGCGCACCUGAGUUCCCAGACCUGCAGGGCACAGGCCAAAUGCAUGUGUGCUGGGUCGGCUUUGUGAUUUUGUAAAAAUGGAAUUAACUGCAAACAUGUAAAAAUCAGAUUUCCCGUGAAAAGCAGACUGCCGGUUUCUCUUGGAAAAUCAGACCAUUGGGCAACUCCGGGCCCACAGUCCCUCAUGGCUGAGGGUGGCUGAGCUGAGGAGCCCCAGCCUGAGAUCCCCACGGUUCCUGUAACCUGCUGCGUCUGGCCGAAGCCUCAGAGUUGGCCCCGGCAAUCCGCAACACCCAGCAGCUCCGUUUCUCACAAAGACCCCAAAUGGCUGUCACAGCACGUGACAGGGUGAAGCCUCAGGCCCCGGCUGGGUUCACAGCCUCUCCUCUGAAGCCCCCCAGUCAGAACAAGCUCUGCUCUAAAGCCAAGCCCACCACCUCAGGGCCUCCGUUUGCCCUGUGCUGCCCUGUUUCUACAAACCCGCCGCAGCCCCUCGCCAGUCUGGGCCCACCCGCAUCUCCCUCUCGGGAAGCCCUAAUCGCACAUCCCUGACCCUGCCUGGUUUUUGGGUCAGGGUCAGCAAAAUGUUUUCUGUAAAGAGCUAGAUAGUAAAUAUUUUAGGCUUUGCAAACCACACAGUCUCUGUCACAACCACUCAACUCUGCCCAGGUAGUAUAAAUCCAGCCAUAGAUAUGUAAACAGAAGGCAUGGCUGUGUGCCAAUAAAACUUUAUUAGAAAAGCAA